CAUUUUAAAAACCCGUUCUAUUUACACUGUAUAGUUGUUAUAAUCUCUACUUUCUGUGUUGCUUGUCAAAUUACGUAAGCUAUGUAAUUUAAUUUUUACUACAAAAUACAAAUAUAUAAUAAGUAUAUAUUAACAGGUGGCAUUCCUGGGGUCGAUAUAGUUACUGGGGGUUGAGUCAACUGGUGGUAGUGUAGGCGACCGGGGUUGAUAGCUUUGGUGGUUGUGAUGGUGACUGAGUGUGGUGGGGUGGCUUAUAAUAUUAUUCCCGGGCUAUUUUCUGUUUAUCGAAUGCUGUAUUUGUUCUACUAAGGUUGUUAUUUCAACUUGCGCAUGACAAAACCGGGGUGAAAUAUCGAUUUACUUGCAGAUGCUAGCGCACAUGAUUCCUGGGCCGUGUGCGGAGUUUUGGUAGCUUGGCAACAGGGAGAGGUUGGUGUAUGAUACGCUGUAGUAAUGCAUCUAGUAACAUUGUGAGUCCAACAUCAAAAGAACAUUUUGAAUUACAAGAAAAACAGAUAUUUAGAAAACAAUAUUUGUAUGAAAAUCAAUUACAAUAAGCCGGGUCACAUUAAUCAUACGUCAACCACUCAUUUUUGAUAUCUGCGUACGCCGCGGCCGUACACACAAUCGAUAAUAUCUUCAAUUCGAUCAGGAUCAAUAAUGGUUCACAUAGCUACAGUUUUGAUAACUCUGAUCACAGCUAUCUCAAUAACUGAUCAUCUUCUUGAUAAUAUCUUGCUAGAAACUCUAUUCAAUUCUACAAUUGCAAUAGAAAAAUAUCAUAAUGUGGUUUUUCCUGAAGAGAUCUUCAAAAGUUAUGGUGUCAAUCCUGAUGAACCGAAAGGUAAGGACUGGUUGGGUAAUAGACCAAUAAAAAUUAUUUACUUGUUUGAAAAUUAAUUAUAAAAGAUUGGUAGCACUAUAAAAAACACACUUAAGCAUAAGCUUACCUAUAUAUUAUAUUUAUUGGCUUUGAAAUAUUUCGAAAUA